CACAUAAACAAUUUCCAGUAAUGGUCUCAGCUCGUACGAGGCUCCUGUUGUAAAUUGACAACAAGCUGUUCUUUCCAGAAGGAGGAGUGCAGAAGAAAAUGAAAAGAAAACGUCAUCAUGGUCAGCAGAGGCGGCGACAGAGGCAGCGGCAGCAGCAGCGGGAGCAGGAACACCAACUGCAGCAGCAGCGUCAGCAGGAGCAGCAGCAGCAACGCCAGCAGGAACAUCAGCAGCAGCAGCAGCUGCAGCUGCAGCUGCAGCAGCAGUGCCAGCAGCAUCAGCAGCAGUGCCAGCAGGCACAGCUGCAGCAGUGCCAACAGGCACAGCAGCAACAGCAGCAGCGUCAGCAGGAGCAGCAGCAGCAGCAGCAGCAGCAGCAGCAGCAGCAACCACAAAGAAGAAGGAGAAAAAACAGGAGGAGCAGGAGGAGCAGGAAGAGCAAGAAGAGCAAGAGGACAAGGAGGACCAGGAACACCAGGAGGAGGAGAAGGAGAAAUAAUGAGUGAUUGUGUCUACAUUUAUGGAAAGAGUUUGGUGGGGUACUAAUGUUGGUAAAUAUAAUACUCAAACAAAAAAAUUCUAAUAAACAAAAUUCUAAAAAUUCUAAUAAACAAAAAAUUCUAAAAUUCUAAAACAAAAUUCUAAAAAUUCUAAUAAACAAAAAAAUUCUAAAAAUAAAUAAAAGAUAUCUGCCUUCAAAGUCCUGAAAACACCAUAUACAGUUUAUAUAGUAAAUUAAAUUGCUAUCUAUACCAUCUUACAUCUAUUGCUCUUUUGAAAAUUAUUUCAAAAUUUGUCUUCUACAUUUAGCAGUAUGGCUCUUAGAGUCAUGUACUCUCUUUUAAAACUGUUUAGAGUAGUGCUUUCAUAAGGCUUAACAUAUUAAUGUGUGGUUUUUUUAAUUUUCUAUUUGUAUCUUUGUAUAGCAUCUUUGAAGAAAUGGGUACUCAAAGAAAUCCUCAUGUAGAGUCACACUGUGCUGUCAUCUGAGACUUCAAGUUCAUUACUGAAUCCAUGCUUCCUCUUCGCAUCGUGAGAAGAUCACUACAGAAGCAUAUCACCACACUUAGCUAGUGGUAUUGUAAAAUCUCUUCAUCAAUGACUUUCAUUUUUGCUUGCUUGUUUAUAAAAAUUUGAAUGAAACAUUUAUAUUUUCUCAUUUUCUACAAUUUUCCUUAAAUCACCUUUACAUCUAACCAUAUUUUUUAUUACUUGCCAUAUUUUUAAUUACAAUAAGGUAUUUAAACACUGAAAUAUAUUUUGUAAUAUUUUAUUUUUCAUUAUUUACAACCAUAUUUUAAAUCAAAUAUUCUAUUAUAUUAUACCACUCCCCAAAGUUCUUCAGAUCCACUUCCAUUUUCCAUCCAGCUUUAAUCUCUUUGUCAAAUCAUACAAAAUUCUAAUGGAAAACCAAUCUCUCAAAA
rnacentral:lncRNA from 1 species